rnacentral:rRNA from 1 species
CGCGUAGGUGGUUUGUUAAGUUGGAUGUGAAAGCCCCGGGCUCAACCUGGGAACUGCAUCCAAAACUGGCAAGCUAGAGUACGGUAGAGGGUGGUGGAAUUUCCUGUGUAGCGGUGAAAUGCGUAGAUAUAGGAAGGAACACCAGUGGCGAAGGCGACCACCUGGACUGAUACUGACACUGAGGUGCGAAAGCGUGGGGAAGCAAAACA